rnacentral:rRNA from 1 species
GACGAACGCUGGCGGCGUGCUUAACACAUGCAAGUCGAACGGUGAAGGGGCCUGCUUUUGUGGGCCCUGGAUGAGUGGCGAACGGGUGAGUAACACGUGAGUAACCUGCCCCCUUCUUCUGGAUAACCGCAUGAAAGUGUGGCUAAUACGGGAUAUUCUGGGUCUGUCGCAUGAUGGGUCUGGGAAAGAUUGCGCCUUUGGGUGUUUUUGGUGGGGGAUGGGCUCGCGGCCUAUCAGCUUGUUGGUGGGGUGAUGGCCUACCAAGGCGGUGACGGGUAGCCGGCCUGAGAGGGUGGGCGGUCACACUGGGACUGAGACACGGCCCAGACUCCUACGGGAGGCAGCAGUGGGGAAUAUUGCACAAUGGGCGCAAGCCUGAUGCAGCGACGCCGCGUGAGGGAUGGAGGCCUUCGGGUUGUAAACCUCUUUCGCCAGUGAAGCAGGCCUGCUCCUUGUGGGUGGGUUGACGGUAGCUGGAUAAGAAGCGCCGGCUAACUACGUG